AGGGAGGUAGCUUAGCCAGGCAGAGCGCCUGAUCUCCAAAAUCAGGAGACGGAGGUUCAAAUCCUUCACUCCCUG
rnacentral:tRNA from 1 species